GGCUGCAGCAUAUCAGGAGCUGGUCCAAUACGGACUAAUGAAAACUCCAGGGAACAAAACUAGACAUGCAGAAUAUUCCUCACAAGUCCACGAGGAACAACUGGAAUUGAAUUAUGUUCCACAGAUUUGAUUUCUUGUGUUUAUGAUGCAAGUCUGCAGUAAGGAAUUUAUUUCUGGAUUUUUCUCUGGUUGAUAUAAAUUUCAUGCUUGGCAAAGUGCAAGGUUUAGGUUGAGAUGUGAUCUUCACUGACCGCUGAGCAUCAUGCUGAUGAUCUAAUGGGGAAGAAUCGAGAGGCAUUCUUCCUUCUGCCCUGAACCCCGGGAGAGAUGCACACAUGGACCUCAAACUGUUCUGGAACUUGAGCUGAAAGAGCAGCUUCAUGGUAUAAAGUUGGUGCUCUCCUAUGAGAUGACAAACUCCUGCAUGUGUAUACACUGAGGUGGCUGCUCCUGUGUUGACCUCAGGGAACGUGGCACAGCAUGCUCCAGCACAGACAUGUCCAGGAGUUCUGUGUUGGUCCUCACACUCUCAAAGAGGCCCUGAUAUCCAGCAACGCUUCCCUGAGGGAUCUUUACACCUGCACAUAUUCCUGCGCUGAGAGGCACUUCUUUUCUGAGGCGUACAACCCCAACAGAGUGCUGUUUCAGACUCUGCUGAUAAGGACACCGUUUGAUUGGAUUGUCAGCCGUCCCGAAGAGCCUCAGGACUUUGAGAGUUUCUACAACUCUACUCGACGGCACCAGUGUAACUCCCGUAGGAAGAAGAUAUAUCUGCAGCCUAUAGAUAUGGAUAUACCAAAGCAGGGUGCUGGGAUUUUAUUCUUGGAUGACCUUAAAUCUUACCUUGAGGCCUUCUUUCUGGGCCUCCCUGUGAUAUCUCUUCCAUGCAUAUCCACAUCUUCCAUGAAGUGCAACUUUCGACAGCAAGAACACUCCUGCAAUGUUCAGCUUCACACAGAUGCCAUCCUGAGACACCUUCAGCGAGUAAAGCCCAUUGAUGCAUUCUGCAUCCUUGGGCUUACCUUCAUUGACCUCUACGCUUGUGACACUUGGAACUAUACAUUUGGAAAAUCAGCCAAUAAACUAGGAGUGGGGGUGUGCAGCUUCUCCCGGCUCUUAGGGAAGCUCUCAGCACAGGCUUCUGGGAUGGCUGAGCAGGCUGAGUUGGGGAUGGUGGGGGCUGGUGGCAGACAUGACAGGCAGGCUUGGCCUGCACAGCCCCACACUUUCACUCUCACUACCACUGAACUGCUGCAGUGCUGCAAGGUUGCCAGUCACGAGGUAUGUCACUUAGUGGGGCUGCAGAACUGCCGCUGGCUGAGCUGCGUCAUGCAAGGAGUGAGCAGCCCUGAGGAGUCACUUCUCAGGCCCAUGGACCUCUGCCCCAUCUGCCUACGGAAGCUACACUACACACUGGGCUUCAGCCUGCUGCAGAGAUACAGAAAACUCCAGGCAUGGUGUCAUCGUGUUGCCUUCACUUGGACCCCGAGAGAAAGGACCAGGCAUGCUUCUACAGAGACUGACAUCUGCCGUUUCAGCUCUGACACAGGAAUAGCCUGUGAGGGGACAUCCCAGCCUGCGUCAGCCACCCUGGGGCUUAUCAGCCCAGAGGUGUCAGUCCCCCGUGACAGGCCUCAUGGUGGAGGAUCAGGCACUCCUGCUGUUCCUGUCAGGACCCAAGGCGAGGAGGGCCUGGCAGCCGUGUGCAGGGUGGAGCUCUGCGCUGACCUCCUGGGGGACUACGAGGCCUGGCUGGACUCCUGCACGAGAGCUCUACAGGUGGAGGUGACCGAGGACGAACUCUCUCAUCUGGACUGUAUGGUGGACGCCAUUACGGCUCUAAGAGUGGAUCCGGCCCGGGUGUCCUCGCCCAGGGUCUCUGUGCAGCUGCCCAGAGCGGAGCGGAACCUGAGGAGGGCUGUCGGACAGACGUUUGCCUGGCUGCUGAGGAAGCUGAGAUUGAGACGACUGAGGAUGGAUCACUCGCGUGAUGACAGCGAAGACUGACAGCCUGACGGAUAGCCCUGACGGAUGGUGUCCUUGACGGCGUGGAAAACGAAGCGGAUGUUCUCAGUGUCGAUGGCGGUGGUGAAGUGGUGGAAGAGGGGCUUGCUGCGGUUCCUCCUCUUGCGGUUGAAGCACUGCACCAGCAGGUCCAUCUUGUUGAGGAAGAGGAUGAUGGAGACGUUGGAGAAGAGCUUGUUGUUGACGAUGGUCUCGAAGAUGUUCAUGGACUCCACCAGGCGGUUGGUGCGCCGGUCCUCCAUCAGGACCUGGUCGUACUCGCUGGACGACACCAUGAAGAGGAUGGAGGUGAUGCCGUCGAAGCACUGGAACCACUUCUGCCGCUGGGAUCGCUGGCCACCCACGUCCACCAUCUUGAAGGGGAUUUUUUUGAUGAUGAAGUCAUGCUCCACAAUCCCCUUUGUGGCCUUCCUGGCCAGCAGGAUGUCCUGUCUGCUCGGCAGGUAGCUCUGAAAGACGAAGGGAAGUGGAAACAAAUAUAAGUCCUGGAUCUCAAAGAGCUUCGGCUGAGAUUUCCAACAUUUCAGUUCAAGGAUAUUUCCUGCAAAUCCAUGGCUGCUGCAGUGGAACAAUAAAACUAAAACACUGUUAUGUUCAUUUAUGAUUUAUGUGCUGUCCUGCAAAGAAAUAGUUAUGAUGAAUGGCUAAUUAGCUGGACCUUCAGGGGCCAGAUUACAUAGAUAAAGGUGUCUACCAGAUCUUCCAGAUCAACUAAGAGGAGAAAUUCUUAAUUCCCCAUGAAAAGGGUUGAUUCAUGAAGUUACCAAUACUGAUUGUGUAAUACAAUUUCACAGAACUAUAUUACAUACAGGUUUAAAUAAGCCAAUAACAAGACAAGAAGAGUAAUACAUUGCCCUGUAUAACUCACCAAUUGCCCAAUACGGUCCAGGUUGUCUAAGAAAUACUUCACCGAUUCACCCUGUGGGUAUAAAAAAACAUUACUUUGGAAGCAGUUAAAAUGAUUAACCGUGAGUCAUACGUGUCCUUAACACUUGGGUCCUUGACAUUUAAACAGGAUGCAGGAUUACUUUGUCUCAUUAAGGGAUGAUGUUGUUUAAAAAAUUGCACAACUGACAGAGCCUAGACUGUGCCCCGUGUAUGAAUAAUGGUGCUUAUGAAAAUGCACUACUCAGUGCUAAAGAGUUGUUGGGUGGUGAAUCCAGCUAAAGCACUCAUUGUUAAGUGUAGUGUCAGUACUGUAUGUGAUGGGACACAGAAUUUCACAGGGAGGUUUUCUAUCGGUCCUACAGCGGUAGUAAAAUGGCUGCAAAGCAAAGCUGGUGGAGUGCAGAGUGAAGAACUGCCAGGUGACAUACAUUUCAGAAGAGCCGCCACACUAGUUCUUUGCUCUCCCAAUUUGUUUGAGGGUGUUGCCGCAGUUGGCCUACGAAUUGGGGGACUGAAAGAAUUAAAUCACAUUUCAUAGUAAAAGAUCCCUAUAUGGGAAUUUACAAAA